UGUCUGUGUCCCAAGUAGGGAUGUGUCA
rnacentral:piRNA from 1 species